GGACGUGAGGGUGAUCUGGCUGUGAUAUCUGUCACCCCACUGACCGCCAGGGUUGAUCUGGCUGAUCUGGUUGGCUAGUCGGUUGUCCUCUUCCUCCCUCACUUUUCCAUAUGUGUCUCUCCCAUCCCUCUGUAAGCUGUGCGCUCAGUUGAACAGGACGGCCUUCCCCAACAGAAAUAGACUGGUCUUCAGUCAAGGCUACACGAGUAGCUGCGCUCCCCUGCUAGAACCUCCAAACAAGCUCUCAAGGGAAGCAGAAUGCUUCCACAACUAUGUAAAAUAUUGGCAUGGUCUUGCUAGUUCAGUCCAAGUUGGAUCACAAACCACACAU
ensembl:misc_RNA 7SK 7SK RNA